rnacentral:rRNA from 1 species
CAGCGUACGAUGUCGACUUGGAGGUUGUGCCCUUGAGGCGUGGCUUCCGGAGCUAACGCGUUAAGUCGACCGCCUGGGGAGUACGGCCGCAAGGUUAAAACUCAAAUGAAUUGACGGGGGCCCGCACAAGCGGUGGAGCAUGUGGUUUAAUUCGAUGCAACGCGAAGAACCUUACCUGGUCUUGACAUCCACGGAAGUUUUCAGAGAUGAGAAUGUGCCUUCGGGAACCGUGAGACAGGUGCUGCAUGGCUGUCGUCAGCUCGUGUUGUGAAAUGUUGGGUUAAGUCCCGCAACGAGCGCAACCCUUAUCCUUUGUUGCCAGCGGUCCGGCCGGGAACUCAAAGGAGACUGCCAGUGAUAAACUGGAGGAAGGUGGGGAUGACGUCAAGUCAUCAUGGCCCUUACGACCAGGGCUACACACGUGCUACAAUGGCGCAUACAAAGAGAAGCGACCUCGCGAGAGCAAGCGGACCUCAUAAAGUGCGUCGUAGUCCGGAUUGGAGUCUGCAACUCGACUCCAUGAAGUCGGAAUCGCUAGUAAUCGUGGAUCAGAAUGCCACGGUGAAUACGUUCCCGGGCCUUGUACACACCGCCCGUCACACCAUGGGAGUGGGUUGCAAAAGAAGUAGGUAGCUUAACCUUCGGGAGGGCGCUUACCACUUUGUGAUUCAUGACUGGGGUGAAGUCUCCC